UACAGAGGGGGCAAGCGUUGUUCGGAAUUACUGGGCGUAAAGCGCGCGUAGGCGGCUUUGUAAGUUAGAGGUGAAAGCCCGGGGCUCAACUCCGGAACUGCCUUUAAGACUGCAUCGCUUGAAUCCGGGAGAGGUGAGUGGAAUUCCGAGUGUAGAGGUGAAAUGCGUAGAGAUUAGGAAGAACACCAGUGGCGAAGGCGACUUACUGGACUGUAACUGACGCUGAGGCAUGAAAGCGUGGGGAGCAAACAGG
rnacentral:rRNA from 1 species